AUAUGGUCAUCUCCUGAAGGAGGGUGUGACAUUGUCAUAGGAAAGCAGAUAUUCUGUAACAGGUCCUUAAACAUGAAAAGUAUAGUUGCUGUUGGAUUUGACAUGGAUUACACACUGGCACAGUACAAACCUGAGACUUUUGAAUCUCUUGCAUAUGAAGGCACUGUCAGAAAGCUUGUUUAUGAUUUAGGAUACCCUGCCGAGCUGUUGGAAUGGUCAUUUGAUUGGAGCUAUAUGGUCAGAGGUUUAGUUCUCGAUAAGAAGAGGGGGAAUAUAUUAAAGAUGGACCGACACAAAUAUGUGAAAGUAGCUUAUCAUGGAUUUAGG
rnacentral:misc_RNA from 1 species